rnacentral:tRNA from 1 species
GCCGGCCGCUGGCGCGGAGCGUGCUGGCGGCUCAUAACCGCUUGGUUGGGGGUUCGAGUCCCUCCGGGCCGCG